CUGGAGUGGGUUGACAUUUCCUUCUCCAAGCCUAUGGGAAGGAGAAAAAGUUGGAGUAAAAUUGGUUUUCUAGCUCCUUGCUUUCUGGAGAUUCACACUGGCAGUAAGAAAUAAAAGCUAGAAAGAAGAGAAGGGUUAGAGAUGUGGCACGCUGAAGAAGGAGAGGCUAAGCACCUCCUCACCUAACAAGGGAUGUUCAGAAGUCAAAUCUUCUCCUCUCCCCACAGUUAUAGCUGCUGGAGACAGCGUGGGUGGCGGCGGCGUC